UCUCAGAGUUGAAAUCCACACAUUUCAAAAUGGCCAAGUUUAAGAACACCAUUUUAAAGAAAUACACUGAAAAGAAUGGGAUUUUUUUUUCUGUUAGGCAAUUAUUUACAUUAACACAGUUUAUUCAAGGGUCUGAAGACAGCAGCAUCUACAACUCCUUAUUCUUUUGAUCCAAAUUUAGCCACAAGCUCUAUCUCUUCUGAGCAACUGGUAGAAAAGAGUAAAUAAUGAUGCUUAGGAGAAAAACAGGAAGAAUCAAAAGCGGAGGAACUGCAAGGUCACGACUUAAUUUGAAGAGAAAGCGAAAGAACAGUGGGAUGAUUAAAUGACUCAAAGUUAUAUAAAAGCUUUGUGUUAAAAAAGUUGUUUGGUACCAUAUUUAUUAAACCUUGGCAUUUUUAUAAUAACA